rnacentral:rRNA from 1 species
UUAAUGAGAGUUUGAUCCUGGCUCAGGACGAACGCUGGCGGCGUGCCUAAUACAUGCAAGUAGAACGCUGAAGGAGGAGCUUGCUUCUCUGGAUGAGUUGCGAACGGGUGAGUAACGCGUAGGUAACCUGCCUGGUAGCGGGGGAUAACUAUUGGAAACGAUAGCUAAUACCGCAUAAGAGUAGAUGUUGCAUGACAUUUGCUUAAAAGGUGCAAUUGCAUCACUACCAGAUGGACCUGCGUUGUAUUAGCUAGUUGGUGAGGUAACGGCUCACCAAGGCGACGAUACAUAGCCGACCUGAGAGGGUGAUCGGCCACACUGGGACUGAGACACGGCCCAGACUCCUACGGGAGGCAGCAGUAGGGAAUCUUCGGCAAUGGACGGAAGUCUGACCGAGCAACGCCGCGUGAGUGAAGAAGGUUUUCGGAUCGUAAAGCUCUGUUGUAAGAGAAGAACGAGUGUGAGAGUGGAAAGUUCACACUGUGACGGUAUCUUACCAGAAAGGGACGGCUAACUACGUGCCAGCAGCCGCGGUAAUACGUAGGUCCCGAGCGUUGUCCGGAUUUAUUGGGCGUAAAGCGAGCGCAGGCGGUUAGAUAAGUCUGAAGUUAAAGGCUGUGGCUUAACCAUAGUACGCUUUGGAAACUGUUUAACUUGAGUGCAGAAGGGGAGAGUGGAAUUCCAUGUGUAGCGGUGAAAUGCGUAGAUAUAUGGAGGAACACCGGUGGCGAAAGCGGCUCUCUGGUCUGUAACUGACGCUGAGGCUCGAAAGCGUGGGGAGCAAACAGGAUUAGAU